GUUUUAUAGUUUUUAUAUUAUUUUAUUAAAUAUUUAUUAUUAUUAACUUGAAAAUCUGCACCUAUUUUCUUGAGAUUAUUCUGUCUUUCUAGCAAUUCUUUCAUAUUUUUCCUGAAUUUUUGGAUCAUUGCCAUGCAAGAUUAAAGCACAACAAAAAUUUUCCACCAGAUCUCUCUCACUCUUUCAGAAAUUGUUAUAAAAGAGUUUCCCUUUCUUUUCUACUACAUAUUCCACUUUCAGUAGCAGCUGCAGAGAGCCAGAGCUCUAGUUCUGUGAUUCGACUGCGGGUCCUUCUUUUCAAGAAAUGGAGCCAUGAUGGCACGACUCCACACAAAAUACCUCAUGCUCAGAUACAGCCGGAGAGGGAAAUUGAUGUCACCCCAGAAGGAGAGAAAAGAAUUACAAGAUUGUCACACUGCAAAAUGGAAAGGACCUCAGCUCUCCAGAAAGUGUGGUUCUCCCGAAAUGCCUCCAAGUUCCCUAAAUCCCUUCAGUCCCUUCAGUUUUCUAAAAAUAAUCCAGCUACAUCUUUGAUUGCCAACUGACUCCUUGGAAAGCAGCUCCAGCAAAAACCUACGUCCAACUAUCUAGAAGCACCCAAAGAAUCACAGUAGUGAGUAUGGUAUUGCUAUAGUGCUACAAUGGGCUAUAUUAAAGAAAUUUAAAUAAUUGCUGAUACAUAGCAAGUAAUGCUAAUGUACAGUCAAAGCAAAGUAGGUCUAAAUCAUCCACAGGUCAUACCAUGCAGCACCAGUGAAAUAAAAUCUGUUUACUAUUACAACCAGGUAUUCCCUUAUCUACAAUGUUUAACAGAGUUUUCAAAAAGCCAGGCCGAUAGUUAAACCCAGCUGUGCACCAACUACCUUGAAUGCAAGGAAAUAAAGUUGUUAAAACUGUAUGUUCUACAUUAGAAGCAAAAUGAGGGGAAAAAAAGAUUCUGAUCCUAUAAUCACUUAUAUAUGUAUAUCCAUAGCCUUGCUAAUAAUAGUAAUCCUAUGGCAAAUUGGUAUUUGCAAACAGAUGCAUUAAAGCGAACUUCAUUACAGAAAGAAUAAAGGUAAUUUCACAUACCA